rnacentral:rRNA from 1 species
CACGAGGCAUGGACUAUUCUUGAGCGCUCGUUUGCGGCACAGUCGCAGGCUCGUGUAUCUGGGCUCCGUCGCCAACUUGGGGAGUGUCAGAAGCUUGACUCCACCGCCACUGAGUUCUACAACAAAAUCAAGAGUCUCGCCGACACGCUGGCCUCCAUUGGACAGCCCCUCACCGACUCCGAGUUCAACUCGUUUAUUGUCAAUGGUCUUGAUGAGGAGUAUGACGCCCUAGUCGAGAUCAUCAAUGAGAGGGGCAACUCCACGCCCAUGCCAGCACACGAGGUCUUUUCACGCCUCCUGCUUACUGAGCAACGAGUCGAGACGCGCCGAUCCAGGGGCAACGACGCCCUCUCGGCAAACGCCGCCACCAAGGGUGGUCGCUCCUCUGCUUCAUCCAGGGCUCCUUCGGGGCAGUCACCACCACCCGCCUCGGCCCCUCCUCCUACUGCG